rnacentral:rRNA from 1 species
UACGUAGGGGGCAAGCGUUGUCCGGAUUCAUUGGGACGUAAAGAGCGUGUAGGCGGCCAGGUAGGUUCGGUUGUGAAAACUGGAGGCUACAACCCGUUCAGAGGUCGGAACCGAAACCAUCUGGCUAGAGUCCGGGAGAGGAGAGUGGAAUUCCGUGGUGUAGCGGUGAAAUGCGUAGAUAUCAGGAGGAACACCGGUGGUGUAGACGGCGUUU